UACGGAGGGAGCUAGCGUUGUUCGGAAUUACUGGGCGUAAAGCGUACGUAGGCGGCUUUGUAAGUUAGAGGUGAAAGCCCGGAGCUCAACUCCGGAACUGCCUUUAAGACUGCAUCGCUAGAAUCCAGGAGAGGUGAGUGGAAUUCCGAGUGUAGAGGUGAAAUUCGUAGAUAUUCGGAAGAACACCAGUGGCGAAGGCGGCUCACUGGACUGGUAUUGACGCUGAGGUACGAAAGCGUGGGGAGCAAACAGG
rnacentral:rRNA from 1 species